GUUUCUGGUUGUAAUAGUGCUAAGAAUUCCCACAAGAAGACUCAGACAUCUCCUUACUUUGGAUCAAAAGUUGAAGGGAAUCAGCUUCCUCAUGAGAAAUCUGGCUGGCUAACUAGACAGAAGGACAACACAAUGUCCUACAGUGUGAAGCUAGACACAGGUUGGCAGGUCCUUAAGUCAGUGAAAGAAACUUUUCUCUCAAGUUUAAUGAAAAAUGGGGAUAUGUUGAGAGAAAGUUACAGAGUGGCCUUAUGAGAUGGAAAUGGG
rnacentral:lncRNA from 1 species